UUACUGGAAAAAAUUAGAGUGUUCAAAGCAGGCCUUUGCUCGAAUACAUUAGCAUGGAAUAAUAGAAUAGGACGUGCGGUUCUAUUUUGUUGGUUUCUAGGACCGCCGUAAUGAUUAAUAGGGAUAGUCGGGGGCGUCAGUAUUCAGCUGUCAGAGGUGAAAUUCUUGGAUUUGCUGAAGACUAACUACUGCGAAAGCAUUCGCCAAGGAUGUUUUCAUUAAUCAGGGAACGAAAGUUAGGGGAUCGAAGACGAUCAGAUACCGUCGUAGUCUUAACCAUAAACUAUGCCGACUAGGGAUCGGACGGGAU
rnacentral:rRNA from 1 species